AAAACAAAAACAAAAACAAACAACUGGAAAUUUGUGGCAGACCAUAAGUGACAGUAGCUGCAGUCUCCCUCCGCAGCAACCCUUCCGCUAUCUCCCCCUUUUUUCCCCUUCCUCUCCUUGUUCCAUCCUCCCCCUUCCAGGGUCUCUUCACCACCAACCAAGGGUAUCAUGAUAGAUCCCACCCCUGGAAGGCUCUCGUCCCUCCACUCAGCUACAGGGAAUAGGGGCAGUGAUCUUUCCUCCCCCACCUCCUCUAUUUCCUCCCCCACCUUCCCACUUUCCUCUGCACCCCCACUCCCCGCAAUGCGGGCGGUUCCCAUCUCAGAAAGAUCUGCAGCUUCUCCAACUCCUCCCUCUGCUUCCCCUCCCCACUUCCCUCUUCCCUCCAGUCUCCUUUCAGUCCAAGAGUCUGUUUGCACCGCCCCCAUUCGUAGUCCGGCGUGGGUGGACGCCACCCCUGGAAGACCCGAAGACCAGAAUACGCAGCAGAGCUUCACCGAUAACCAGUGCUGCAGCUUCCCUUCCUCUCUCCUUCUUCCCCUCCCCUUCCCCCUUUCCCUUUCCCUUCCCCUUUCCCCUCUCCCUUUCCUUUCCCUUUCCCCCUUUCUCUUCCCCUUCUCCUUUCCCGUCCCUGUCAUCCAUUUCCAUCCCCCAUAUCCUGCGUGGAUGGUUCCUACCCCUGAAAGACCGAAAGAUCAGAGUUCGCAACAGGGCUUCAGGGAGACUCGCCAUUGCAAUCUCCCUUUAUGGUCUUCUCCUUUCUCCCGCUCCUUUCCCAUCCCUUCCCCAGUCCUGUGUGGGCAGAUCCCCACCUCUGGAAGACCCUUCUCCCUCCGUUGAGAUACUAGGGCUCCCUCCUCCCUUCCUCACGUUCCUCUGAACCCCCUCUCCUACUACCCGCAGUAUUGGGGGACCUCGCCCCUGGCAAAGUCCCAGCCCCCAAGAGCUGCGGAUGCUGUGGUCCAACUUGCCCUCUUGGAGGGUAGCUCUUCCCCCUGGCUCCACCUUUCGCUUUUCUUUGGGCUGCUUCUAGGAGAAAAGACCUGGGACAGCGACCGGACUGGGCCGCUAUCGCUCCUGCGGAAAAGGCUGAACACCUGAAAGAUGCUCAUGGCCAGCCCUUUGUCAACCGGGGAGCCAGCGCCUUUUUCACCCUGGAGGAAUGGAGGUCACCCAUCCCCCUUGACGCCACCGUCUGUGAUCUGUUCUUUUUGGCCAGCCAUUCUGCUCAGAGCAAAGCAGAAGCUCCUUCCCUGAAGAUGGGCAUCCCGACCCACAGCAAACCUUCUUCUCACAAGCCCCAGCUCCCUUCUGCUGAUAGCACCCAAUCACCCAGAGGAGUCUCCCCAUACUUCGCUCUGGCUGCUCUCCUUGGCUCCUGACAUUCCAGGAUUUCUCCAUCCAGGUCUUCAUUCUGUGUCGUGGAAUUGUCUCCUGUGCCAGUGACUGCAGCAGCCUUCUCCCCAGCCUCUUGAUGGGGGCCAUCUUGUCUCUCUCCUUGUUCUUCUCUUUUUCUAUUUUCCUUAAGACUAUACUAAAGUUUCCUCCAUAAGACUAUGAGCAAUUUUGAUGACCAUGGGGGAAACAGCUUCUCUGUGUCCUUCAUAGAGUGACUCUUAAAGGAUUGUACAAAUGUUUAAAUUUCUAUUUCCUUCCUUCCUUCCUUCCCUCCUUACCGAGAGCUCCCAGAAGGCUCUACUACCCCUUUGUGUGUCUAGGAUUCCCUAUUUGUCUUUAGUAUCAAGUAUUCCCUAUAUAUGUCAUUUUAUCUAUUUUCCUUUCCAUUUAAUACAAUUCAGCAAGUAUUUAGUAAGUGCCUCCUAUGUGCCCAUUGCUAGUGUCACAGAGACAAAAACAGAUACCUACAUAGAAACCAGGAGUUGGUUCUUUUGCUUUCUCCUUCCUCUUUGUCCACCGAGAAAAUCUAUAGAGAAGGUUCAUUGAUCUGGAGUUGAGGGGAACCUUAUCGAGCCAUCUCUUCUAAAGCCCCACUCCCACCACCAGUUUUACAGAUGAGGAAUCUGAAGUGAUUACAUGACUUGCACAAAGUCAUGGGAAUACUUUCAAGGGACAGAGAUAAAAUUUGAAUCCAAGUCCUCUGAUUCUAAAGACAGUAUAAUUUCCCCAACCCAUUGGACUACAUUGGAUCUCCCUCUUUUUCUUUCCUUCCCAACAGUUGUUUAGGACAAAUACCUCAGAGAAAAGUGAGAGAAAAUGCAGAAGACAGCUUAGUUCUGGGCUUUGGGGAUAUAGUUCCCCCAACUCCUUCACUGACCUUUAAAAGAUCAUCCUCCCAUUCCAUUACACUCCCAGCUCUCAGUUCUGAUCCAAUACAUACAUUCCAUAUGUAUAUAAAACUCCUAAUUUUGCAAAGGAAGGGACCAACAAAAGGGACUUCAAAGGUUCCUCCCUCUCCCUCUGGUCUAGCCAUGACUACCUUCUGUCAAUACUGUGUUUUUCUCACUUAAGAAAAAAUACCUUAUAAUAUACCUUUUUUGCUAUUUCUUUGUAUCCUAGCAUUUAGUUUAGUGUAGUGUCUGAUAUACAGGGAGGCCUGAAUAAAUAUUUGCUGGUUGUAAUGGAAUCCCUAACACUUUCCUCUGAGCCAAAAGAGCUCAGUAGGGUCUGAUAGUUAAAAGGGCUAUAUUCCUUCUAGCUGUGAACCAUGUAGACUGGUUCCAGCUGGUUCCCCAGAGUUGGGUGGGAGAAGGGACCAUUUCCCCAUCUCCUACCCAGCCUCCAUGUGACCACAAGGUCACCCCUAUAUUUUUUGUGUGUUUGUGUAUCUUUCGUGUUUGUAGAUGAAUAAUUAUUCUGUAGUGCAUGUGACCAAGAUUAGUAGUGAAUUCCUGAAUUCCAAAAGAGCUGAAAAUCCUGUAGCCAAGCAAAUGCAUGACUACAGCAACUCCUGAGCAGCUGUGGUUGAUGGCAGAAGUUGUGUCUAUGUGACUGCUGAGGAGUAGUUGGACAAUACAAUUCGAGAUGAAAUUUAAACCAUGCAAAGCAAGUUUUGCAAAACUGCUUUAUUUUCCAAUGAAGUGUAAAUACUAGCUUUCCAGCUUCUUGUAAUGGUAGUUAAAAGUUAAAUUAUUGAAUCUUGUUAAUCCUGUUAACUGGUUUAAUUCUGUUAAGAUGAUGAAAAUUGUGAUUCUUUCAUGAUUAACAUUUAUUUCUGUAUAGAUGACAGCUACCUAUUCCUUACCUAUAAAAAACAUUCAGAAAAAAAAAAAAAAAACAGAACAGAAUUUAUCUAUGUCCAGGAAAUCUGGUUUUGUUUUGUUUUGUUUCUUAUUGAACUCUUUUGAUAUCUUUUGAAGGCAAUAUGAUUCUGAAUGAACACUUGUUUCUUCUCUCCCUAUAGAAUAUUGGCACUUCAUCAUUAUCCUGCUCUUCCUAAUUACUUAAAUAAAUAUACCUUUGUGUGUUUCUCUGGA